GAUUUCAUUCAACAGAACUUGAGAAUCACUUUGAACACAAAUGAAGGGAAGUUGGAGCUGCUGACCCAAGUCAAGACCCGCAGUUACUGCUUUUAGCUUCAGCGAUCAAGCCGCAUCAGUAUUAAUUUUAUAAAAAAAGGAAGCUGAAGUUUGCCAUAUUGUAUCUUACAAGCUCAAAUUUGUAAAAGGUUUGCAAUGUUUGCUUCAGGAGAACUGCAUUUUGAGAGAACUUG